CUACACACGUCAUACAAUGGGAUGGUACAAAGGGUCGCCAACCCGCGAGGGGGAGCCAAUCCCAUAAAACCAUUCGUAGUCCGGAUCGCAGUCUGCAACUCGACUGCGUGAAGUCGGAAUCGCUAGUAAUCGUGGAUCAGAAUGUCACGGUGAAUACGUUCCCGGGUCUU
rnacentral:rRNA from 1 species